rnacentral:rRNA from 1 species
GUCUAUGGCCUCUUAUCAUGAACACGCCCAAUCCCCUCCUGAUCUCUGCAAGCUCAGCAGGGUUGGGCCUGUCCUAGUACUUGAGUGCGAGCCCACCCAGGCAGCCCAGGCGUUGUAGGCA